UACGGAGGGUGCAAGCGUUAUCCGGAUUCACUGGGUUUAAAGGGUGCGUAGGCGGGUAUAUAAGUCAGUGGUGAAAGCUCCGAGCUUAACUUGGAAACUGCCAUUGAUACUGUAUACCUUGAAUGUCGUAGAGGUUAGCGGAAUGUUGCAUGUAGCGGUGAAAUGCUUAGAUAUGUUACAGAACACCAAUUGCGAAGGCAGCUAACUAUGCGAUAAUUGACGCUGAGGAGCGAAAGCGUGGGGAGCAAACAGG
rnacentral:rRNA from 1 species